rnacentral:rRNA from 1 species
GUGAGGAAUAUUGGUCAAUGGGCGAGAGCCUGAACCAGCCAAGUCGCGUGAAGGAAGAAGGAUCUAUGGUUCGUAAACUUCUUUUGCAGGGGAAUAAAGUGCGGGACGUGUCCUGUUUUGUAUGUACCCUGAGAAUAAGGAUCGGCUAACUCCGUGCCAGCAGCCGCGGUAAUACGGAGGAUCCGAGCGUUAUCCGGAUUUAUUGGGUUUCAAGGGUGCGUAGGUGGUUUGAUAAGUCAGCGGUGAAAGUUUGCAGCUUAACUGUAAAAAUGCCGUUGAAACUGUCGGACUUGAGUGUAAAUGAGGUAGGCGGAAUGCGUGGUGUAGCGGUGAAAUGCAUAGAUAUCACGCAGAACUCCGAUUGCGAAGGCAGCUUACUAAGCUACAACUGACACUGAAGCACGAAAGCGUGGGGAUCAAACAGGAUUAGAAACCCUUGUAGUCC